UAGGUAGGUGGUCUCAUUUGUCUGAGGUGAAAGCCUUGAGCUUAACUCAAGAAGUGCCUUAGAAACGGUGAGACUGGAGUCCUGGAGAGGGUCGUGGAAUUCCCGGUGUAGCGGUGAAAUGCGUAGAGAUCGGGAGGAACACCAGCGGCGAAGGCGGCGACCUGGACAGGUACUGACACUCAACUACGAAAGCGUGGGUAGCAAACA
rnacentral:rRNA from 1 species